rnacentral:rRNA from 1 species
GAUGAACGCUAGCGGCAGGCCUAAUACAUGCAAGUCGAACGGUCCACUUCGGUGGAUAGUGGCGCACGGGUGCGUAACACGUAUGCAACCUACCUUACAUUGGGGGAUAGCCUUUCGAAAGGGAGAUUAAUACCGCAUAAGACAGUAACAUGGCACCAUGUAGCUGUUAAAGAUUUAUCGAUGUAAGCUGGGCAUGCGUCCAAUUAGUUAGUUGGUGAGGUAAUGGCUCACCAAGACGAUGAUUGGUAGGGGAACUGAGAGGUCAAUCCCCCACACUGGCACUGAGAUACGGGCCAGACUCCUACGGGAGGCAGCAGUAGGGAAUAUUGGGCAAUGGACGCAAGUCUGACCCAGCCAUGCCGCGUGCAGGAAGAAGGCGUUCUGCGUUGUAAACUGCUUUUAUAUAGGAAGAAACGACCCUUGCGAGGGGCAUUGACGGUAUUAUAUGAAUAAGCACCGGCUAACUCCGCGCCAGCAGCCGCAGUAAAAC